rnacentral:rRNA from 1 species
AACGAACGCUGGCGGCAUGCCUAACACAUGCAAGUCGAACGAGACCUUCGGGGCUAGUGGCGCACGGGUGCGUAACGCAUGGGAACCUGCCCUUAGGUUCGGAAUAACUCCCGGAAAGGGGUGCUAAUACCGGAUAUGGUCUUCGGGCCAAAGAUUUAUCGCCUUUGGAGGGGCCCGCGUUGGAUUAGCUAGUUGGUAGGGUAAAAGCCUACCAAGGCGACGAUCCAUAGCUGGUCUGAGAGGAUGAUCAGCCACACUGGGACUGAGACACGGCCCAGACUCCUACGGGAGGCAGCAGUGGGGAAUAUUGCACAAUGGGCGAAAGCCUGAUCCAGCCAUGCCGCGUGAGUGAUGAAGGCCUUAGGGUUGUAAAGCUCUUUUACCCGGGAUGAUAAUGACAGUACCGGGAGAAUAAGCCCCGGCUAACUCCGUG